rnacentral:rRNA from 1 species
UACGAACUGUGCAACCGUUAUUCGGAAUCACUGGGCUUAAAGGGUGCGUAGGCGGCUGUCUAAGUAGGGUGUGAAAGCCCCCGGCUCAACCGGGGAAUUGCGCCCUAAACUGGAUGGCUGGAGUGAGGCAGGGGUGUGUGGAACUUCCGGUGGAGCGGUGAAAUGUGUUGAUAUCGGAAGGAACGCCGGUGGCGAAAGCGACACACUGGGUCUCAACUGACGCUGAGGCACGAAAGCCAGGGGAGCAAACGGG